rnacentral:tmRNA from 1 species
GGGGGCGUAAUGGAUUCGACGGGGAACAAGAGCUUAAGUAAGCGAGUAGCAAGGCGGAACUGCUUUAAAAGUCGCAUUUUUCAAUUAAAUGGAAAAACAACUUAUGGCGAUAAGCCAAAAAACAGCAAAAACAAUGUACUCUAUGCUAAUUUUAGAGGAGUUGCAAAAGCUGCUUAAUAGCCCUAAUAAUUGGGUGACAUCUUUCGACAGACUACCGCAACUGUCUUAAGGUGACUAACUUGCGGUGAACGUGAAUCAAAAAUUUUCUCGAUUUUGGUCAUGAAUUAGGGAAUACUGUGUUUUUGAGUUUUCCGUUGUGCUCUUAAUACAGAAAAUUCAAUCAACGGAUACACUCGUAGAAAGCUUAGGUGAAUGCUUUUCGGACAGGGGUUCGACUCCCCUCGCCUCCACCA